rnacentral:rRNA from 1 species
AGUUUGAUCCUGGCUCAGGAUGAACGCUGGCGGCGUGCUUAACACAUGCAAGUCGAACGGGGAUGCCAUUUUCGAGGCGGUUAGUUUACUAAGCGCCAAGAUGCUGGCAUCUUAGUGGCGGACGGGUGAGUAACGCGUGGGUAACCUGCCUUAUACAGGGGGAUAACACUUAGAAAUAGGUGCUAAUACCGCAUAAGCGCACGGGGCUGCAUGGCCCAGUGUGAAAAACUCCGGUGGUAUAAGAUGGACCCGCGUCUGAUUAGCUUGUUGGCGGGGUAACGGCCCACCAAGGCGACGAUCAGUAGCCGGCCUGAGAGGGUGGACGGCCACAUUGGGACUGAGACACGGCCCAAACUCCUACGGGAGGCAGCAGUGGGGAAUAUUGGACAAUGGGGGGAACCCUGAUCCAGCGACGCCGCGUGAGUGAAGAAGUAUUUCGGUAUGUAAAGCUCUAUCAGCAGGGAAGAAAGAAAUGACGGUACCUGACUAAAAACCCCCGGCUAACUACGUGCCANCAGCCGCGGUAAUACGUAGGGGGGCAAGCGGUAUCGGGAAUUACUUGGGUGUAAAGGGAGCGUAAACGGUUAUGCAAUUCUUGAAUGGAAAGGGGGGGGCCCACCCCCCGGAAGGCUUUGGAAACCUGUUAACCU